rnacentral:tRNA from 1 species
GGGCCGCUAGCUCAGCUGGUAGAGCAGAUCCCUCUUAAGGAUAAGGUCCAGGGUUCGAUCCCCUGGCGGCCCACGA